CAGAGAACAACAGCAUAUUUAGUUUGGAAAAAAACUGAAAUCCCAAGAAAAACCCAGCACUUUCAUCUUAAAACUCAACUGUGGAGUUGAACCCAACUAUAAAGUAUAUUGCCACAUACAUAUAUAGCUACUAACACGGCCACACGCGCGCACUAACAACAUUUGUAUUGCAUUUUGCGCACCAUUAUGGCGUCAACAGCACAAAUGGCGCCAUUUCCGCAUCCGCUGCACAGCGUCAGCAGCAACACCAACAACGCCGAGAACCGGCAGCAGCAACACACAAAAAUGCCACCACAAACGCACCUGAGGCAUCGUCUCCACUGCAGCAGCAACAACAAUGGCAACAAAAGCAGCAGCAACACCAUUAGAGCCACACUGUCAUUGUUUUGUCAGUUUCUCACGGUAUACUGCAUUCUUCUAACGGCAAGCGGAAGCGUGCGAA